ACAAUAAAAAGCCCCCGCCGCGGGCCCCCUGGGUAAGCACCAGCGUUGUAUAUUGCUAACGCCUUUAUAUGCAUUGGAAAGUAUCUUGGAAAGGGUUGAAGGUGUGAGUGUGGAGUGAAAGAUUCCUUUGGAGGUUACGAGAGGCCAAAGGGGGAGGAAGGAAGAAAGGAACAGGUUAACUCAAUGAUCCAGCUAGGCCCGAAGAUAAGAAAUGAAACUGCAGCGAAAGGCGAGUGCACACAAACAAGCUCUCUGCUGCCAAACAGCCAGAUGCCUGUGUCUCAACCCCAGCCAGCCGUGAAAAAGGAGACCUGAGCCAGACAGAACUGAAGGGGUUGCAAAACUAGUAAGAUUGAAAAAGUCGGUGAGUGGAAAAACAACAGAAACCGGUGUGUUUUGGGGAAACUAAGGGAGCCGCGGAAGGCCAGUUUGGAGUGGUACCAAGAGCAUGGGGGACGAGAGUCCCUGGAUGAAAAUGCCCCUGGAAGAACCCUGGGGUUGUGAGAGCGCACCAACUGUUCUAACCGGCUGUAUUAACGAAUUGUGUCGGCAUGUUCAGGAAACGAAUGUUAACGAUUGCGGACUUGGGAGUCCCACAGUCGUGGGCGAUGGCACCCACAAUGGGUUCAAGGCUGGACACACGGGCAUUAGGUAGUGCAGACAUGGGAGUCCCGCUUCCUGGCCCUCUGGUGUAAUGGGAGGCUGGUGGACCUGAUGCCCAAGCCACGGAAGGGGUGACAAAAAGGGACAGGACCCUGUUGCAUCUUUCAAAGGGGAGUGAGGACCUCUCCCAGUUGGAGAGGGCUCUCACCAAGUUGGGACAUAAUUCCUGGGAUUCCAUGGUGGAGCUUCAGAAACUUGUGCACACUCGGCAGGAUUUGUUAGACCUGUAUGCCGAGUGUGAAAGGCACAAGGGUAAAAACUUGGGGGCAGCUGUGGGAUUGGUAUAGACUUUUGUGUUUUGUACAAGCGUGAGCACAGAAGAGUUACAAAGUAAUAGUGAGAGCCUAGGGACACCCCGAACAGGAGUGGUGGGACCGCUCUUGCUGCUUCAGGCCUGCAGAAUCCUUUAUUGUGAUACAAUGUAUGUAUGGUGGCAUAUUUUUAUGGGAAUCCUUGGGUUUCUGACACUUUUGUCCUCCUUUGUUAAUAUUACCAUGAUCCAAAAUUGGCCAGAGUGGAAGAAAAGAUUUAUUAUCCAUUGGCAUGGGAGGCAAUUGUGGCAUGUCAUCCUGGGAAUUUGGCACCAUGUAUUACCUGGGCGUUUUUCCAAAGGUGGCUCCCUGCCAAGAGCCCCAGGUCCCCUGGCCCUGCGUAUCCCUCCCCAGAUGGGUCCAAGACAGAGUUAACCCCGAAGAACUCCAUAACCCACAAGGCAGCACUGCCCAGGACAACGUCGCGUCCCAUCUCCCUCUAAACCCCCCUCCCAAAGAGUUUGUUUCCACCUGGGAACACUGUCCCCUACCUUUGGAGGAGGAAGAUCUCGGUUCGUAUUGCCAACACUUGUGGUUGCGCUGGGAAGGAGAAACCUGGGAGCAAUGGCUCAAGCGGACCACAGAUGGGAAGGUACAUGGGGAGGUUUUCAACGUCACAGAAGAGUUCAGCCUGCCAUCAGAAUCAGUGAUUCACUUUGAGAGCUGGCAGCGGGGUGUGGUUGCAGUGUUGGCACCCAGAAGGUGUAGGGUUCAACCCAAUCCCCGUAGUUCCAAAUUUUGGUAUGUUACUUAUAUCACCCACUCAUCCACACACACGUCUCGCCAGUGUGGGGAGGUAAAUAUUACAUGCCCAGAACGAUUUCCAGCAUCCCUUUUAAAUUGUAGCCUCCUUCAUUUAGCCUCCAGUCUUCAGGGAAUGGUCCCAGGAAAGCACCUCCAUGUCUCCCACACCAGCGGUGAUGGCAAAUUUUACCAGACACCAAAUGGGAGGUAGCAUCUCAAUGCUGGAUCCUCCUCAAUGCCACCUUGGGAGCUUUAGACAUUUACUUGCCUCUGAAGUGCUUUCAAGUCCCAGCCUUCCUUCCCAAUUGUACCGGGGGGCCACCCUCCAACUUGCCCUCCUUAUGCAGGCAUUGUCCCCCUGGAAAAAGCGGACCUUGGUGAGCUCCUUGUGGGAUGGGGCCAAUUUGGCAGCUAGCAUUUGGAAUAUUCAGCAAGGGACCAUAAGAGACAAGCAGUUGGGAUGGCUGGAAAAGGCCAUGGGGCUAGUCAAAAGUGCGGAUGUCACCCACCUUACAGUGGCCACCUUUGCUCUCAAACAUACUGCUGAAUUGGCCCUCCACACAUGAGACACCUGGCAGGGACUGAUUGAGGCCGGGGACCAACUAGCUUGGGAUUCUAUGUGCUCCUAGCUCCAACAAUAUUUGACCCAGCAAGUCCGUAGCAUCCAGGAAGAUGUGCUCCAUGGAGUCUGGCCCCGGAAAAUCCAUUUCCACUCAGGGAUUCCCCAGGAGCAGUGGCCUUUUUGCUAUUCCUGGAGGCUCACUAACUGGAAGUACACAGGCAUAGCCUGCUCUUUCAUGGCCUUUGGGCCCAUGAAAGGAAUGUGGGCCCCUGCUGUGAAAAUCCAACCAGGCCUUUGGGAAGGCUGCCUCUGGGACUGAGUGGUCCAUCUUGAUGUGUGGGAGGUGGCUCCCCCCAACGACAUGGCUAAGUGGUAUGUGCUGACUGCAGCCCUAUCAGCACACAUGGAUUGCAGAGGGCAACACCUGGCAGCUAUGGCCUAUGGAGUCCCCUCAAAUGAUGCAUAAAGAACGGGCAAUGCCAGGCCGCUUUUAUGAGGUGGGUCAACACAUCUGCUGGGAAGGAGAGGCAUCGCGAUAUGCCCCCACUAAAGCACAUUUGUUUACCAAUACCUCUGUGUCUGUUUGGAGGACCACCUACCCCAUGUUGUCCCUUGACUUGCUGUUACAAUCUCAAGUGCAACAUUUUUAGGUGCAUUGGCCUGCUGUUAUUCAAAGUAUUUUUAAUAUUUCUAACUAUAUUGUGUUUAAUUUUUCAUGGAUUACACCCAAUGUUUUUCUCCAAUUGGCACAUGCCCGGGAGCAACUUACCGUGUUCCAGACAGAUGCCUCCUCCUUUACAGUGUUACAGCACACCUUCAAUCUGGAGAAAGCUGCGUUUGCCACAGCCAUUUGGAUGGGGCAUCUAUGUCAACAAGAGGAUGUGUUAUGCUAUGUUACUAAUGAAGCCAGAAGCCACUACUGGGUUGUGUAUGCAAUUGUUGCUGCCUUAAUAAUUGUGUUUUUGCUAUAUUGCUGCUUGUGUAGGAGGCCAACGGUGACACUAGCCACAGUGUCAGAGGGAGGAUGGAAACCUAAGUGGUGACCCCUCACAACGGGAUGUUGAUUUGGGGUCAAGGGGAGGACUGUCACAAUAAAAUGCCCCCCCCCAUGGGGUCCCCUGGGUAAGCAGCAGCGUUGUAUAUUGCUAAUGCCUUUAUAUGCAUUGGAAAGUAUCUUGGGAAGGGUUGAAGGUGUGAGUGUGGAGUGAAAGAUUCCUUUGGAGAUUACGAGAGGCCGAAGGGGGAGGAAGGAAGAAAGGAUAAGGUUAACUCGACGAUCCAGCCAGGCCUGAAGAUAAGGAAAGAAACUGCAGUGCAAGGCCAGCGCACACAAACAACCUCUCUGCUGCCAAACAGCCAGAUGCUGUGUCUCAACCACGGCCAGCCGUGAGAAAGGAGACCUGAGCUAGACAGAACUGAAGGAGUUGCAAAACUAGUAAGAUUGCAAAGGUUGGUGAGUGGAAAAACAACAGUCUCGCGACCCUGAAACCGGUGUGUUUUGGGGAAACUAAGGGAGCCGCGGAAGGCCGGUUCGGACCAGUACCGAGAGCACGGGGGACGAGGGCCCUGGACGAAAAUGCCCCCGGAAGAACCCAGGGCUUAAAACCCUCCCGAAAGCUGAAGCAAGUCAGAGAUUUACAGCGGACCCUAGAUGACCUGUGCACAGGGCAGAACUCUUGUCUACCCUUUUCCCGCUCUUCUUCUUACAUUACACCCAGGCUUGGCCAGCCUUGGGUUGUGCGUGUGUAAGUAUGAAAGUGGGUUAGGGCUCGGACACUAACACUUUCUUCCUCCCUCUGAGUGACGUGGGGUGCACCCAGCACUCACAGCUGUUAUUUGGUUAAUAGAGCUUUAAACUUAGUCACUUGGUGUGGUCCUUCAUCUCCUCCCCUAAAGAUUCUGCAGCCUCAGCCUGAUCACCUGAAGCCCCAGGCAGAUUGGUAACAUAAAUCUGUCCCAAUGCAUCAUGGUAUCUCAGCAACAGGGGAAACCAUGAUGCAUUAUAGGACAUGUAGUCCAGCCAGGGAGAUUGGCCCAUGGGGAAAAUGGGGGCAUGAGGCACUCAAACCAGCUCCCAUGAAACACUGAAGUUGCAUUUCUAAAUUAAAUUUUUGGUUUUCAGCCCUAAGUUUUCCAUUUUAGGGGGGAGGGGGAGUAAAUUUUGGCUCUAAAUUUUUGAUUUUUCACCAAAAAGAUGACAUUUUCAGGUUCAAAUAUCGAGAGAUUCCUCUUAAAAUUAGCAAAUGAACUGCCUUGAACCCCCUCACCUAGAAACUUACUUUCCUUGGAUGCCUUUAACAGGCAUUACUUCCCCUAUCACAAGCACUGGGUCUGUGUACAAAACAAGGAAAUAUUAUAAAGAAAAGGGCAUUAUUUUGGGGAAAACACCGCAGCAGUAAAUCAACAAUAUAUUUAUGUGGAUGUCAGCUUGUGGGAGUUCUAGAGAAGGAGCUCUCUGCUGUCGUCUGUUGGUGAAACUGAAGGAAGAGACAGAGUUAGAAAGCUGCUUGUUUGUUAUCCACCUCCUUGCCCCCCAGUGGGAGCAUUUUGGUUAAAAUUCAUUUACAUUUUGGGUGUAGGGGUAAUGAAAUGUUAUUAUCCUUGUUGUAUGACAAAAGGGCUUCAGGACUGUACCUAAUAUUCCCUAAGAGAAGAGUCACCCAAACCAAUACCUCCCUCUGGCACCACUGGGUAAUGGAACUGGGACAACCAGAAAAGUGCAAAAGCUGCUUCUUGGAAACGAAUAUGAUUAUAAAGAGGCAGUGGUCAGUUGUCUUUUCAUGAAAGUGGAGCAGCACUUCCCCUACGGGCAGGAGAUGGAUCUGACCAGGUGUACUCCUAAACUUUAACACUUCACCUACUGAUGACACCACACCAUGCAUGAAGGCGUGCAGAAGAGGAAAGGGGUGUUUAAAAAGGAAUGUUUGUCCAUUGGUUGUUCAUGCUGGCUGGUGGGGAAACUGAGGCAAAGGAUGACUAUCCAUGAUACUGUGCAGGCUAGACAUGCCCAAACAUGUGCUAGCAGGGAUAUUAUAUCUGUGUCUGACCAUUUUCUUGCUGCUACCCCAAAGGGGCUCAUGUGGGGUCUCUGCCGAAAGUGAUGGUCGAACUUAUUGCCAUGGUUAUUGAGAGAUGUUUGUCCGGGAAACAACUGUAGAGUUAUGGAACACAUAGGGUCUUGUGUUCCAAAUCUGGAUUCCUGGCAGUGGAACCCAGUGUAACCUUUGGGUGGGCUAGAGUUUGCUAAACUGCCAUUCUCCAAUGCUCCCCUCCCAAAACCCAAAACCAUCCAACUCCCAUAGAAAAGCAUCCGGAGACCCAGAAUUCAGUCUCUAAGGAUUUUCAACAAGGAUUGCACAGGAUCAGCCUCCCCACAUUCAAGUCUCAAAAGUAACAAAAGCAAUGAAUUUAAUUAAGUAACAACUUUAUAAAAUCUUAUGAUAAAGAAACAUAAUAAAUUAUGAUAAUUUAAUUUUUAACAAAAAUGAUUAGGGGUUUGGAACAGCUUCCAUAUGGGGAAAGAUUAGAAGACUGGGACUUUUCAGCUUGGAAAAGAGAUGACUAAGCGGGGAUAUGAUAGAGGUCUAUAAAGUCAUGACUGGUGUGGAGAAAGUAAGGAAGGAAGUGUUAUUUACUCCUUCUCAUAACACAAGAACUAGGGAUCACCCAAUGAAAUUAAUAGGCAGCAGGUUUAAACAAACAAAGAUGUAAGCAGUGUCAGGAUGAGCUCCACCCUGACAUCUGGUGGUGAGGUGUGGCAAGUUGUGGAAAAGAACUUCAGGGGCCGAUCCCAUUUGCAUAGGCACACCCACCCCACCUAGAAUGAGGCCAUAGCUGCCCAAAUGGUCACUUUGGCUGCUGUGGGAUCCCCAGUGUCUCUGUUAUUGGGGCAGGAAGAAUAAAUUGUUAUUACCCUGAUUAUGGGAACUGUGCUUGGAACUGUACUUGGCCUUUUGUUAUGAUGGAGGGACUCACCGUCAACUAAGUAGCACUCGCUAGGCAAGGGUCAUGGGUUCCAAAACUCUAUGAAUUGAGAGAGGUUGGGGACAAGUAUUAAUACUUGGUGGCAUAGGUCCCUGGGUGAGGGCCUUGCAUGCUAAUUGCACUUCCUCCUCUCUCCACUGGGGAAUAUCAGAGCUAAUUUUGAUUUCAUCAGGAGUCUAGUUACAGGCUGCUGAGCUCACUUUGGGCUAGUGGUGCACCAGCACUGAGGCUUCCCUACUACAAGCUGACUUCACCAAAGAGCUGAACUGACUAAGAGCUGAAAUCACUGAGCGUUGUGCUAAGUAGUGGGGGAGCCUGAAGAUAUAUUGUAGAGCAGUUUGCGGUACGGCUGGAGUGCCUUGUGGACAGGCUGGUGGAGCAGUUCAUAGGCCGGUGGGAGUUGCUGGUGGGCUGCAGAGCUGAGCAAAGCAGUUUGCGGGGUGGCUGGUGGAGCUGUGGGGCGGUCAGCUUCAGAUCAUGUAAGGUACCUUUUACCCCUGCCCCCAUCUCCACCCGGGUUGGGAGGUAAAGCUCCGCAGAUAAACUUUUGAACUCUGGGGCUCCCCUGACCAGGGUCAGAGACUUUUGGGUCAUUGGACUUUUGGGACUUUGAGUGAUUUGGGGUUGCUGAACUCAAGAACCAAAGGGAAAGGGCAUGCCCCAAUUUGCUUGGGGUGGGUUUUUUGCUCAUGGGUUGUGUUAUGAAUCCUGUUGGUGGUGUUUCCCCAACAUAAUGCCACAUUGCUUCUCUCUGUUAUUAAAAGGCUUUUUGCUAC